UCGAGCGCGGGAAGCGAGCGGAUCCCUUCGGGGUGAAGCUCGUGGAACGAGCGGCGGACGGGUGAGUAACACGUGGGCAACCUGCCUGUAAGAUCGGAAUAACCCCGGGAAACCGGGGCUAAUGCCGGGUAAUACUUUUCUUCGCAUGAAGAUAAGUUGAAAGAUGGCUUCUCGCUAUCACUUACAGAUGGGCCCGCGGCGCAUUAGCUAGUUGGUGAGGUAACGGCUCACCAAGGCAACGAUGCGUAGCCGACCUGAGAGGGUGAUCGGCCACACUGGGACUGAGACACGGCCCAGACUCCUACGGGAGGCAGCAGUAGGGAAUCUUCCGCAAUGGACGAAAGUCUGACGGAGCAACGCCGCGUGAACGAUGAAGGUCUUCGGAUCGUAAAGUUCUGUUGUCAGGGAAGAACAAGUACCGUGCGAAUAGAGCGGUACCUUGACGGUACCUGACGAGGAAGCCCCGGCUAACUACGUGCCAGCAGCCGCGGUAAUACGUAGGGGGCAAGCGUUGUCCGGAAUUAUUGGGCGUAAAGCGCGCGCAGGCGGUUCCUUAAGUCUGAUGUGAAAGCCCACGGCUCAACCGUGGAGGGUCAUUGGAAACUGGGGAACUUGAGGACAGAAGAGGAGAGUGGAAUUCCACGUGUAG
rnacentral:rRNA from 1 species